ACUGUGAAUAAGUAACGUGAGAAAUGGAGAAAAAAACUCGGACGAAGUAUUCAUUAAUUCAAUUUUUUAACGAAAAACGAAUUUUGAAAAUCGAGAUUUUCUACAACGUAAACUAAUAUAAUUUUACCAAAUGAAAAAAUAUAACAAUAUAAAGGAGUAUAUCAAUUUGAAUCCUGUUGGACAUUUAGAAGACAGUUACAAAACGUUUUAAGUAUUGUAUCAAAAAUUUAAAUAUAAAUAAAUGUUCAAAAAAAGCAAAUGCUCGUGUUUGCAAAUAAAGAAGUAACAAGUGAAAGAAUUCGAGCAAGCAAUAGCUGACCUAUUGGAAAUCCAACAAAAAGUCGUUCGUGCCAGUUUCGAUUCCGCUAAGAUUACAAAUUUUAAGAAAGCAAAGAUAUGAUAUAGAAUGGGUAUAUAAGUGUCUUCUAAUUAGAAUUAAAAGCCCCGCAGUAUAUGACCAACUUGGAAAAAGACAAAUUUUACCCCUUCCUUGCAAAGAUACUUUAAAUUCUUACAUCCAAAAAUUGAAUAGUGUUUUCGGUUUCCUAAAUUAUUCUUCAUGUAACUAUCGAAUUGCUGUUGUCUCUUCCUCUUUUAGCUUUAUCUCUUCUGUAAAUUUGCUCCAGUGUCUUUCUUUUUAUCAACUUUUCAUUUGCUUUCAAAUAAUUACUUUUUGAAACUUUGCAAUAAUGUUUGAAUAAAAUUCAUUUAAAAAAUUUCAACACAUUUUCUAUCAAGCACACGUCUUAUUGAUAAAAUAGCUUUAAGUGAAGGGGUUAAAUUAAAUUCACGUACUACAGUCAACCCUCCUAUAACGCGGUGAGUGCGUACCGCGUUAUAUGGAAACCGCGCUAUAAGAAACUCGGAUUUAACCGUACAAACCAGGCUAAUUCGUAGCGCGUUCUAUGGAAACCGUCUACCGCGUUGUAUGGAAACCGCGCUACAAGAAACGCAGAAUUAGUACAAAUCACAUUAUUCGUACCGCGUUAUAUGGAGACCAAUAAGGACAAGAUAAAUUAUAAAUUAUUUUUAUUGAAUUGAAGAGUUUAUAUAAAGAAAUGAUACCAAAACUAAACUGAAAAACUGUUUUCCAA
rnacentral:lncRNA from 1 species